UACAGAGGGCGCGAGCGUUGUCCGGAAUCACUGGGCGUAAAGGGCGCGUAGGUGGCCACUAUAAGGCCGCGGUGAAAGUUCGGGGCUCAACCCUGAAUCUGCCGCGGCGACUGUAGGGCUUGGGCACUGUAGAGGCAGAUGGAAUUCCGGGUGUAGCGGUGGAAUGCGUAGAGAUCCGGAAGAACACCAGUGGCGAAGGCGGCUCACUGGACCGGUAUUGACGCUGAGGUGCGAAAGCGUGGGGAGCAAACAGG
rnacentral:rRNA from 1 species